GAGAGUGGCGAACGGGUGAGUAACACGUAGAUGAUCUACCUUUUAGUUGGGGAUAGCCCAUGGAAACAUGGAGUAAUACCGAAUAAUCUCUUAAGGCUUUAGCUUUUAGAGGAAAGAAGCGUUUGCUUCGCUGAAAGAUGAGUCUGCGCACUAUUAGUUAGUUGGUGGGGUAAGAGCCUACCAAGACCGCGAUAGUUAGCCGACCUGAGAGGGUGAUCGGCCACAUUGGGACUGAGACACGGCCCAGACUCC
rnacentral:rRNA from 1 species